UGAGAACAGAACUGCUUUCCACUGGUC
rnacentral:sRNA from 1 species